rnacentral:rRNA from 1 species
UACGUAGGGUGCGAGCGUUGUCCGGAAUUAUUGGGCGUAAAGAGCUCGUAGGCGGUCUGUCGCGUCGGCCGUGAAAACCUGCAGCUUAACUGUGGGCUUGCGGUCGAUACGGGCAUGACUGGAGUUCGGCAGGGGAGACUGGAAUUCCUGGUGUAGCGGUGAAAUGCGUAGAUAUCAGGAAGAACACCCGUGGCUAAGGCGGUUCUCUAGUACGGUACUGACGCUGAGACGCGAAAGCGUGGGGAGCGAACAGG